GAUGAACGCUGGCGGCGUGCCUAAUACAUGCAAGUCGAGCGAACAGACGAGGAGCUUGCUCCUUUGACGUUAGCGGCGGACGGGUGAGUAACACGUGGGUAACCUACCUAUAAGACUGGGAUAACUUCGGGAAACCGGAGCUAAUACCGGAUAAUAUUUCGAACCGCAUGGUUCGAUAGUGAAAGAUGGCUUUGCUAUCACUUAUAGAUGGACCUGCGCCGUAUUAGCUAGUUGGUAAGGUAACGGCUUACCAAGGCAACGAUACGUAGCCGACCUGAGAGAGGGAUAGGCGGCAAGGGGGGUUGAACGCGAUGAAGGCGACUACGGGACGCAGCAGUAGCGUAUGUGCGGCAAUGGGCGGAAAUGUGACAGAGUAGGGGAGCGUGAGAGACAAAAAGUCUGCGAUCGUGAUAAUGUCUUGCUGGGGACAAACAACCGUGUACGGCAAUGAGCCGGGCUUGACGGUACUGAAUAAGGAAGCCACGGCUAAGUACGUG
rnacentral:rRNA from 1 species